CUAUAUCCAAAUCCUACCCGAUAUCCAAUCGGAUAAGAAAAGAGAUACCCAUCCCCAUACCCAACGGGUUCGGGGAUACCCGUGGGUAACCCAUUUCCCCAUACCCAAUCCAUACCCACCCCAUACCCAACCCAUACCCGUCCAUUCUAUACCCAAAAAAAAGUAAAAUAAUUUUAUGCAUAUUAUCAAUCAAAAAUAGAAUUACCAAUUAUAUAU
rnacentral:lncRNA from 1 species